rnacentral:rRNA from 1 species
UGGGGAAUAUUGGGCAAUGGGCGAAAGCCUGACCCAGCAACGCCGCGUGAGUGAUGAAGGCCUUCGGGUUGUAAAACUCUUUGGACGGGGACGAAGAAAGUGACGGUACCUGUAGAACAAGCCACGGCUAACUACGUGCCAGCAGCCGCGGUAAUACGUAGGUGGCGAGCGUUAUCCGGAUUUACUGGGCGUAAAGGGCGUGUAGGCGGCUAGAUAAGUGUGAUGUUUAAAUCCAAGGCUUAACCUUGGGGUUCAUUACAAACUGUUUAGCUUGAGUGCUGGAGAGGAUAGUGGAAUUCCUAGUGUAGCGGUAAAAUGCGUAGAUAUUAGGAGGAACACCGGUGGCGAAGGCGGCUAUCUGGACAGUAACUGACGCUGAGGCGCGAAAGCGUGGGGAGCAAACAGG